rnacentral:rRNA from 1 species
UCCUACGGGGGGCAGCAGCCGCGGUAAUACGUAGGUGGCGAGCGUUAUCCGGAAUGAUUGGGCGUAAAGGGUGCGCAGGCGGUCCUGCAAGUCUGGAGUGAAACGCAUGAGCUCAACUCAUGCAUGGCUUUGGAAACUGGAGGACUGGAGAGCAGGAGAGGGCGGUGGAACUCCAUGUGUAGCGGUAAAAUGCGUAGAUAUAUGGAAGAACACCAGUGGCGAAGGCGGCCGCCUGGCCUGUUGCUGACGCUGAGGCACGAAAGCGUGGGGAGCAAAUAGGAUUAGAUACCCCGGUAGUCCUAGAU